rnacentral:SRP_RNA from 1 species
GCCAGGCAUGGUGGCUCAUGCCUGUAAUCCUGGCACUUUGGGAGGCUGAGGCGGGUGGAUCACUUGAGGCCAGGAGUUUUGAGACCAGCCUGGCCAACAUGGUGAAACCCUGUCUCUA